rnacentral:rRNA from 1 species
GUACGGUGGCAAGCGUUGUCCGGAAUUAUUGGGCGUAAAGCGCGCGCAGGCGGUUCGUUUAAGUCUGAUGUGAAAGCCCACGGGCUCAACCGUGGAGGGUCAUUGGAAACUGGAGAACUUGAGUACAGAAGAGGAAAGCGGAAUUCCACGUGUAGCGGUGAAAUGCGUAGAGAUGUGGAGGAACACCAGUGGCGAAGGCGGCUUUCUGGUCUGUAACUGACGCUGAGGCGCGAAAGCGUGGGGAGCAAACAGGAUUAGAUACCCUGGUAGUCCACGCCGUAAACGAUGAGUGCUAAGUGUUAGGGGGGUUUCCGCCCCUUAGUGCUGCAGCUAACGCAUUAAGCACUCCGCCUGGGGAGUACGGCCGCAAAGGCUG